UCUGCCGCUAGAGACGUUGCAGAUGUGGCUGCCGUGUCACAUUUGUGUCAUUAGGUGGCAAAGAGAAGAGAGCCUUGUCUACGCUCGGUGUUCUGUGGACGUCUGGAUGAUUGAUAGUCCGACACU